ACUACGGGUGGCGGCAGUAGGGAAUGUUAGGCAAUGGGCGCAAGCCUGAACGAGCGAUGCCGCGGGAGUGAAGAAGGCCUGCGGGGCGGAAAGCUCUGUUGCGGGGGAAAAAAGGCAACGACAGGAAAUGGUAGAUGACAGAUGGUGCCACGCCAGAAAGUCACGGCUAACUACGGGCCAGCAGCCGCGGUAAUACGUAGGUGGCGUGCGUGAGCCGGAGUGAUUGGGCGGAAAGGGGGCGCAGGCGGUCCGGCAAGUCUGGAUGGAAACGUAUGAGGGCAACUCAUUCAUUGCUCUGGAAACUGGCGGACUGGAGAGCAGGAGAGGGCGGUGGAACUCCAUGUGUAGCGGUCACAUGCGUAGUUAUCUGG
rnacentral:rRNA from 1 species